rnacentral:lncRNA from 1 species
AUCUGUUCUGUCAAGUGCAGAGAGAAGAUGGUAACUUUUUCAAGAAGUCUAAACCAAGUUAGAAAAAUCUCAUCACAGAAGACCUAGAAGCCUCCAGUUGUGGAACUCUCCAGUCCACAAGCCCAAUUCCAAUAGCAGAUUGAAGGGUCUGGAAACAAAAAGACUGAUUCAAGACUGCAGAAGAUUAAAGAUGAAGACGUGCAAUGGGGAAUAUGUAGGAGGAAAGGGGACUUGAGUUACCAUGGCAACUGAAAUUCAAUGUAGCAUCACUCCAAAAAUGUUCUGUUAGUUUGGGGAGAAUUUACCAAGUUAGUAUCCCACAAUUUGUAUCAUAACCCACAAGCUACCAGGCAGGAAUGGGGCAUAGGAGUGUCAUCCUGAAGCUAGUAAUUUCAUUCUAGUGGAAAUCAGCAGGCCAGGAGCUGGAGUGAACCUCUGGGAAAAGUAACCAGAUUCCAGUUUCAUCUUUUUUCAACUUCAAGAAGCCAAACUCUGCUUCCAGAAUAAAUCUGAC